rnacentral:rRNA from 1 species
CCUACGGGAGGCAGCAGUGAGGAAUAUUGGACAAUGGACGAGAGUCUGAACCAGCCAAGCAGCGUGAAGGAUGACUGCCCUAUGGGUUGUAAACUUCUUUUAUAUGGGAAUAAAAUGUUCCACGUGUGGGAUUUUGUAUGUACCAUAUGAAUAAGGAUCGGCUAACUCCGUGCCAGCAGCCGCGGUAAUACGGAGGAUCCGAGCGUUAUCCGGAUUUAUUGGGUUUAAAGGGAGCGUAGGUGGCUUGUUAAGUCAGUUGUGAAAGUUUGCGGCUCAACCGUAAAAUUGCAGUUGAAACUGGCAGUCUUGAGUACAGUAGAGGUGGGCGGAAUUCGUGGUGUAGCGGUGAAAUGCUUAGAUAUCACGAAGAACUCCGAUUGCGAAGGCAGUUCACUGGACUGUAACUGACACUGAGGCUCGAAAGUGUGGGUAUCAAACAGGAUUAGAUACCCGAGUAGUC